ACGCGAGGAACCUUACCAGGUCUUGACAUCCCACUGCCCGGUAUAGAGAUAUACCUUUCCCUUCGGGGACAGUGGUGACAGGUGGUGCAUGGUUGUCGUCAGCUCGUGUCGUGAGAUGUUGGGUUAAGUCCCGCAACGAGCGCAACCCUUGAUCUUAGUUGCCAGCAUUUAGUUGGGCACUCUAAGGUGACUGCCGGUGACAAACCGGAGGAAGGUGGGGAUGACGUCAAAUCAUCAUGCCCCUUAUGACCUGGGCUACACACGUGCUACAAUGGACGGUACAAACGGUUGCCAACCCGCGAGGGGGAGCUAAUCCGAUAAAACCGUUCUCAGUUCGGAUUGUAGGCUGCAACUCGCCUACAUGAAGCCGGAAUCGCUAGUAAUCGCGGAUCAGCAUGCCGCGGUGAAUACGUUCCCGGGCCUUGCACACACCGCCCGU
rnacentral:rRNA from 1 species